rnacentral:rRNA from 1 species
UGAUCCUUCCUUCCGUAGGUGAACCUGCGGAAGGAUCAUUAAAUAAUUUGAGUAUGCUUAUGCAUAUUUCUAAUUUACUGUGAACUGUUUUACUGUUUAGCGUUUUGAGGGAUUGCCUAAAGAUUAUAGGGAUAGGUCUUCAGGAUGUUAACCUAGCUAAAGUCAGGCUUAGGCCUGGUAUCCUAAUUCAUUAUUUACCAAAAGAAUUCAGAAUUAAUAUUGUAACAUAAGCGUAAAAAACUUAUAAAACAACUUUUAACAACGGAUCUCUUGGUUCUCGCAUCGAUGAAGAACGUAGCAAAGUGCGAUAACUAGUGUGAAUUGCAUAUUCAGUGAAUCAUCGAGUCUUUGAACGCAUCUUGCGCUCAAUGGUAUUCCAUUGAGCACGCCUGUUUCAGUAUCAACAACAACCCACAUCCACAAUUUUGUUGUGAAUGGAAGUGAGAGUAUCGAUGUAAAAAUUGAACUCUUUAAAACUAUUAGGCCUGAACUAUUGUUCUAUUAGCCUGAACAUUUUUUUAAUAUAAAGGAAUGCUCUAGUUAAAAGACUAUCUUGGGGGCCUCCCAAAUAAAUCAUUUUUUUAAACUUGAUCUGAAAUCAGGUGGGAUUACCCGCUGAACUUAAGCAUAUCAAUAAGCGGAGAGAAGAAAGGAUC